rnacentral:rRNA from 1 species
UACACUCCUACGGGAGGCAGCAGUGGGGAAUUUUGGACAAUGGGCGAAAGCCUGAUCCAGCCAUGCCGCGUGCAGGAUGAAGGCCUUCGGGUUGUAAACUGCUUUUGUACGGAACGAAACGGCCUUUUCUAAUAAAGAGGGCUAAUGACGGUACCGUAAGAAUAAGCACCGGCUAACUACGUGCCAGCAGCCGCGGUAAUACGUAGGGUGCAAGCGUUAAUCGGAAUUACUGGGCGUAAAGCGUGCGCAGGCGGUUAUGUAAGACAGUUGUGAAAUCCCCGGGCUCAACCUGGGAACUGCAUCUGUGACUGCAUAGCUAGAGUACGGUAGAGGGGGAUGGAAUUCCGCGUGUAGCAGUGAAAUGCGUAGAUAUGCGGAGGAACACCGAUGGCGAAGGCAAUCCCCUGGACCUGUACUGACGCUCAUGCACGAAAGCGUGGGGAGCAAACAGGAUUAGAAACCCCAGUAGUCCC